CUAAGGUUUCCUGAGGAAGGUUCGUCCGCUCAGGGUAAGUCGGGAGCUAAGGCGAGGCCGAAAGGCGUAGUCGAUGCACAAACGGUAGAUAUUCCGUUACCACCGAAACUGUUAAGUACAGGGACGCAGGAACAUAACCGGACCACACCGUUGGUUGAGUGUGGCGUAAGGGAGCGAAAAAUAGUAGCGAAGCCGGUGAUUGUACACUGACGAGAAAAGCUGUAUGGAUUGGUUAGGUGCCCGUACCGCAAACCGACACAGGUAGAUGAGGAGAGAAUCCUAAGACCAACGGGAGAAGCAUUGUUAAGGAACUCGGCAAAAUGACCCCGUAACUUCGGGAGAAGGGGUGCCUGCGAAAGCAGGCCGCAGAGAAUAGUCCCAAGCGACUGUUUAGCAAAAACACAGGUCUAUGCUAAGUCGAAAGACGACGUAUAUGGGCUGACGCCUGCCCGGUGCCGGAAGGUUAAGGGGAACGGUUAGACAAUAAGUCGAAGCUGUGAACUUAAGCCCCGGUAAACGGCGGCCGUAACUAUAACGGUCCUAAGGUAGCGAAAUUCCUUGUCAGGUAAGUUCUGACCCGCACGAAUGGCGUAAAACGAUUUGGGAGCUGUCUCGACAAUGUGCCCGGCGAAAUUGUAGUACCGGUGAAGAUGCCGGUUACCUGCGACAAGACGGAAAGACCCCAUGGAGCUUUACUGCAGCUUGAUAUUGAGUUUCGAUAUAUGAUGUACAGGAUAGGUGGGAGGCUGAGAACUCUUGACGCCAGUUGAGAGGGAGCCGCUGUUGGGAUACCACCCUUCGUGUAUUGGAAUUCUAACCGGAGGCCAUGAAACUGGUCACGGGACACUGUCAGGCGGGCAGUUUGACUGGGGCGGUCGCCUCCAAAAAGGUAACGGAGGCGCUCAAAGGUUGGC
rnacentral:rRNA from 1 species